GGAGGGCUGGCCGAGCGGUCGAAGGCGGGUGACUUGAAAUCACUUGUGGCUUUAACGCCACCGGGGGUUCGAAUCCCUCGCCCUCCG
rnacentral:tRNA from 1 species